rnacentral:snoRNA from 1 species
GGAGGAUGAGGAUCUGAGGAACAAGGUAUAAAGCCAACCAGGCAGCCAAAUCUGUGAGACCAAGAAAUAGCACCCAUUUCAUAGUGUCCCAUGCCAGAGCAAACUGUGGUCCCGAACCAUUGCCUGGCCUCGAUCUGUGGGCUACAGGCACUGAAGGGGAUUGUACAGAG